rnacentral:rRNA from 1 species
GACGCUGGCGGCGUGCCUAAUACAUGCAAGUCGAACGGUCUUUCUAUGGAAGCUUGCUUACCACUGAGAAGAUAGUGGCGAACGGGUGAGUAACACGUGGGUAACCUGCCCAUAAGAGGGGGAUAACAUCCGGAAACGGGUGCUAAUACCGCAUAGUUUUCUUGAUCGCAUGAUUGAGAAAGGAAAGACGGCCUUUGUGCUGUCGCUUAUGGAUGGACCCGCGGCGUAUUAGUUAGUUGGUGAGGUAACGGCUCACCAAGACGAUGAUACGUAGCCGACCUGAGAGGUGAUCGGCCACAUUGGGACUGAGACACGGCCCAAACUCCUACGGGAGGCAGCAGUAGGGAAUCUUCCGCAAUGGACGAAAGUCUGACGGAGCAACGCCGCGUGAGUGAAAGAAGGUUUUCGGAUCGUAAAACUCUGUUGUCAGAGAAGAACAAGUUGGAGAGUAACUGCUCCAGCCUUGACGGUAUCUGACCAGAAAGCCACGGCUAACUACGUGCCAGCCGCGGC